AACUAUCCCCUUCAACUUUUGUCACUGAAAAUCCAUUUGAACCUUAAACGGAAAAAACCACCAUCAUCCAUGACACAAAUUGAACUUUCCGUGUGCUAAACUCUCUGACCUCUCAGAUUCGACGUCAUUCUCUCUCUAUUGCUUGUUCUUUGUCUCAAAGGCAUUCUACAUCAUAGGUUGUUUUUCAUGGAAUAUAAGUCAAUCAGGAAGACCUCAUACUUGAUGGAAGUGAAGCACCACUCAUAAUCGAUGUUGAAACUAUACUGGUAUCUGAGCAACUUGCUCCAGUGGCUAUUCUAAACAAGAUUAGGGUUCCAUAUCAACCAAUAGAUUCUAAGAUAUAUGCACUCUCAGCAGAUCACGAUAAACUUCCAUCUGGAAAACAAAUACUAGCAUUGACUUUGACCUACAAGGUUAAAUUGGAAGAUGGAGCGCAAUUAAAACCUCCCAUACUAUUGCUAAAUGACCGCAUAUAUGACACUAAAUUCGAGUACAAUUUUAUAUGAUUUCUAACUCAAAUAAGAUAUGUUAAUACGUAGAUUCCUUUUAUUUUGAAAAGGAGUAGGAUAGUUUUCAUUUUUGUAAUUUUUUCAAUCAUAUGAAUAAUAU